UAGCUUUGGUCUUAUAUGACUUUGUUAUUUGUCGGCGUGUUUUUUAUGUGUGUGUGUGAGUUGGUGUUGGCUGUGUGCAUCCUAGUUAUGCAGAGGCCGGGUGUGUGCUCAUGUGUUAUGUAUCUUUUUGAUGCUUCAUUUUUAGUUAAUAAAAUCCAUCCUUUAUAAAAAAAAACUAUUUAUCUUAGGGGAAAUCCUUGGACUUCAGCGCGACCUAGGACAUCUUAGAAUACUUGUAUUUUGUCUUUUUUUUUCUUACUUUUUGAGACCGAAUUUGGUUUGGCUAUGUGCAUCUUAGUUAUACGGAGGCCGGAUGUAAUAAUUAAAUCUUUUAAGUAAUUAUAAAGCGCCCAUUGUCCAAAAAAUAUAUUUUAUAACUUACAUUUAAUAGCAAGAUAGGCAUAUGCUAAUAUAAUGAACACCACAUUUGGUCUGAAGAACAUCAAAUGUACAUGCACUAACUCGUAGAAAUAAACCUCCAUACUACCAUCAAGAGCAAGUGCCCCAAGAUACCAUUUCUAGGGCCAGAAUUAUUUCUGAGCCGGAGUUCAGACACUACAACAAGAACCCCCCUACAGCAACGCAUCAUUGCGUUGCCAAAGGUCCAUAUAAGCGUUGGUAAGGUCUACACCAACGGAUUUGUAUGCGUUGCCGUUGGUGGCGUUGGAAAGGUCUACAACAACGUAUAUGCAUCCAUUGGUAAAUGGCGUGGAGAAGUGUUGUAAGAUAGAAACGGAUAAAGUCAGAGCCCAACAACGCUUCACAUGCGUUGGUGGAUUAUAAAUGAGUAUUGCAAUGCCUAGUGCAUUGCAUGAAAAAUGCACGAUAUUUUAUAUAUCACCAUCCAGAAUUAUUAGGUCAAUGCCGAUAUUGCACAGGGACAUAGUAUAAUAAAUAGAAAUUUCUCAUAUAUUAAAUCAACUUGGUUGCAUUACAAAGGACACGAUACAAAGAUUACAACAUGUGAAGCUAGUAGUAAUCCUACUGUUGACCUUGCAACCAACGUCUCAGCCAUUCUGAAACAUUGACACCGAAAAUAUCUGAAACAUAAUGAUUGAAACAUUGGCACUGGACAUGGAAUUCUAAGACACAAUGUGAAACUAUCUAAUAGCACUCCUAUUCUUGACCAAUAUCUGAGCCAUGCAUCAUCGAAUACAGCAAUCUACAACAAAGAAACGAAAUAGGUUAAUAGGGCAAAAAAAUUGGAAGGAGGAGCAACAUGGAAAGGUCGAAGGCAAUGUGAUAGUUAAUCUUGCUGCAUGACUAAUAAUUUUGACUCUUUUUAGUAGUUAUAAAAACUUGUAAGAUUUUGCUAAUGUAGCAUCAACGCGCAAUACCAAGAAUUCAUUACCAAGUUUAACAUCAUCAACUUUAGAUUUAUAUUCGGGGUCGAUACUUUGGAUUAAAGUAAGAGGAGCAUUGUUGUUCGGAUGUGUCCAGUAUAAUAUUUGUAGCUAACAAUAGUCAUUUUAGCUUACAGUACACUAACUCAGCCUGUUUCAUUAGUAAGUUUCACCCUGUUAACAGAAACAAAGUGUUUUAUAGGGGUGGGAAAAUGUAAGGCAGGCAUAAAGUAGUUGAUGAAUUGUUUAACCUAAUCUAACCGAAAUGAGUCUUAUCUCACAGAAGCAGUGUUCUCUUGUACAAAUUAGGUAGGAAAAAAAAGAGAAGCAUGUGUAAGAUAAUAAAAUGUAGUCAAGUAAUGCUAUUAAUACUCCAAACUUUCCAUUCGAUCUGGUGAAGAAUCAUUCACGCAAUAUAGAACUACUAUCAGAAAAUACCUCCUAGUAAAUCCAGCUUGGCACUAAUAUGUUUUAGCGCCAGCAACAUCGACUUGGAACAAUCUAGUCUCUGUAACCUGCUGAUUUGGCAUAUGCAUUAGUAAUCUAUGUUCGGUUGUGCUCACUGAAUCGAUGGCAUCAAAAUAGCCGAACACAUGUGUACGAAAAAUUUAGCGUACUCUUUAUUCUUUUAUAUCAGAACUCUUACAUAAGCUUGCUUUUUUACGGAAAAACUCUUGCACGACCUGGUUCCAUGAUAUGACCUGCUACAUGGCCAAAGCAAUCCAAACCUACGCUGACUUAAUAGCAUCUAGAACGACUCAGACUGCAGUGCCCUUUUACUAGACUAGUAAGGCAUGCUGAGUCCAAGACAUACUAGUACAGCAUGUAGGCUACUAGCUAUGCAAACUCAUUGAACCAUAUAUGGACUACAGAACACAAAUGCUUACGACAUGCAAACGAGACAUGUUGGAAAACUAACUAAUCAACCUAUCAAAAUUAGACUCAAACUUGGCUAGUUAAACUAGCAUGGACACCUACCAAACUACUUAAAAUGAUUCUAACAAUUUAGAAGACCACACCAUUAGUGCAGUGCCAGGCUGCCAACGUAUCAGUAUAUGCCAACAUUUACUAAAUAGGUUUCGCUUUCUUAGUUCACUUGUUUACCGAGAACAUGGAAACUUAGAGCAGUUCCAGUAUGCUCUUCUUUGUCACCAUGGUUGCCGGAUGCUCAAACUGUUGGCCUGAAUAGGUAGAGGAGAAGGUUCUAAGUAUUACAGAGAAGAGGAGAUCCUAGUAAGAUCCAAUAGUUUGGGAUCAGUGAAUUCGACGUACCUGACACACUUGCACAGUCGCCGUAUCUGAUCGCUUAGGUGUCUGUUUAUGCUUGUUAGUAACAUCCCACCACCAUAGUGUGCCUGUAUGUCAGGGAAGCAGAGUGCACAAGAGGAAUAAGUUUGACAGUUUAAGGAGAAUAUGUUACAAACAAGAUAAGAUGUGAGAGGCACCUGGCCAAGAGUUUGUGUGCUGACCAAUCAUGCAUCAUUCUAUCUUUGGAAACGUCUGUGGCUCCCCACAAAAUACAAAUUAGUACAGAGAUUGCAGGAAUUCAGAAGUACCCGUAUUUCCAAAAAAAAUGCACUGAACUUGAUUUAAAGGUGAGAUUUCAAUAAUAUGAGUCAAAUACAUAUGACGAGAAUAUCAAGGUACGAUGUUCUUGUAACUCACGUUCAAAAUUUAUCAAUUAUUUAACAGUUUAUAUUGGAUAACAUGAGUGUAAGAAUUAUUUCCAUCUGAGCUUUUGCAUAAAGUUAGAGAUUGAGGUGUGCACAUUUUUACUGAAUAAGAAGCUGAAACUAAUAUAACUUUUUGUAGGGGAAAACAAAUAUUACAUCAACCGAAAAGAUAGAAUAAGAUACAAAUUCACGUUUUCCUUACUGUAACAUGAACUAGCGAAAACAUCCUCAC
rnacentral:lncRNA from 1 species